CGGUCACCAGCAAAUCGCACGCCUCCGCGCCUAAGACAGAAGAUAUGGAUGCGACGUCGCGCCCGCUCGUUUGAGACAUCGUUACGCGAGCGCCCGCGGCCUUCGCGAAGUCGAAAGUGAACUGUGACGUUGCCNNNNNGCGGCGCGCACAUCAAUCACGCGAACAUGCGGCAAUCGAACCGCCACGCGCUCAACUCCAGCCGCGCGAAUAGCAAGCGCAUCGACCGCAUCGAUCCGCCGCCCCG
rnacentral:misc_RNA from 1 species